GAUAAACGCUAGCGGCAGGCUUAACACAUGCAAGUCGAGGGGCAGCAUAGAUUGUAGCAAUACAAUUGGUGGCGACCGGCGCACGGGUGCGUAACGCGUAUGCAACCUACCCGUCACAGGGGGAUAAUCCGGAGAAAUCUGGUCUAAUACCCCAUAACAUAUGGAUCGGCAUCGGUUCAUGUUGAAAUUUUCGGAGGUGACGGAUGGGCAUGCGUAGCAUUAGCUUGUUGGUGAGGUAACGGCUCACCAAGGCGACGAUGCUUAGGGGGACUGAGAGGUUUUCCCCCCACACGGGUACUGAGACACGGACCAGACUCCUACGGGAGGCAGCAGUGAGGAGUAUUGGUCAAGGGGCGCAAGCCUGAACCAGCCAUGCCGCGUGCAGGAUGACGGCUCUAUGAGUUGUAAACUGCUUUUGUACGAGGGUAAAGUGGGUUACGUGUAACCUUUUGAAAGUAUCGUACGAAUAAGGAUCGGCUAACUCCGUGCCAGCCGCCGCGGUAA
rnacentral:rRNA from 1 species